rnacentral:rRNA from 1 species
AAUAAAUUCUGCUCAAUGAUAAACUUAAAUAGCUGCAGUAAAUUAACUGUACUAAGGUAGCAUAAUAAAUUGCUUUAUAAUUGAAAGCUUGAAUGAAGGAAACAAUGAAAAACAAACUUUUUAAUCUAAAAAAGUAAAAAUUAGUAUUUAAGUGAAAAAUCUUAAAUUAAAUCAAAAGACAAGAAGACCCUUUAGAACUUUACAAGCCUCACCAUCUUAACUGGAUUGUCUUGUUAAAUUGGGGAGAUUUUUAAAUAAAUAAAUCUUUAAAUAUAAUAAGAUGAUAUACUUCAAAUUAAAUUAUCCACGUAUGAACUAAAACAAGUUACCUAAGGGAUAACAGCGCAAAAUUUUUGAGAAGAUCUUAUUCACAAAAUACAUUGCGACCUCGAUGUUGGAUUAAGAAUAACUUAUAGAGAAAAAUUUAUAAGAAUUGGUC